rnacentral:ncRNA from 1 species
UUGGACCUUCGGGGCAGGGUGAAAUUCCCGACCGGCGGUGAUGGUGCCUCAAAAGAGAGCGCCUCAGUCCGUGACCCGCGCAAGCGGUGGAUUCGGUGAGAUUCCGAAACCGACAGUAUAGUCUGGAUGGGAGAAGGGAUGA